AACGCACAUUGCGCUCUCUGGUAUUCCGGAGAGCAUGCUUGUUUGAGUAUCAGUAAACACCUCAACUCCUUUAUUGUAGUUGGACUUGAGCUAUCCCAACAGGACUUUUUGUUCCUGGCGGGAGGCUUGAAAUGCAGGUGCAGCUGGACUUUCUUCUGAGCUAUAAGCAUAUUUAUUUAAUCCCUUAACACGGAUUAUUACUUUUUUGCUGCAGCUAACAUAAAGGUUGAAUUUCCAUUGAGCUGACUGAUGCAGGAAUUUGGCAAGGAAUUUUUUUAAUGACUUGUUAAACUCGAUCUCAAAUCAAGUAAGACUACCCGCUGAACUUAA
rnacentral:misc_RNA from 1 species